rnacentral:lncRNA from 1 species
GGGCGGGGCAUGACUUCCGGUUCCCGCGCGGCGCUCCAAAGCUCGGGGAGUGGUGGUCUCCCUUUCCUGGAGUCAUUUGUGGGAGUUAGGGUCUUAUCCUGAUCUUUCCUCGUCCCCCGCUCCCCCGUCCUCCGAGGUGGCAGCUGCAAGUCUGGAACGUUUUUUCUUAGAGUUCCAGAAUUGAGACUGAAGUGUACCCAGAGACACAAAGAAAUACAGAAGUCCAGAAUGAUCAAAUGAGAUCACUACCCAAUGAAAUGAUGGGCCGAGGAGCCAGAAGUUGUCCUACUACCUGCUUUCCAGGUCCAGAUUCCACGAGAGCCUUCUGGGCUCCCACCAGAGACCCUCAGUGAAGACUCUGUUGAAGACUUUAAGACCAUGCUAGAAAGCCUCCCGGCAGAGGUUCAGGAAGUUCUGCUAUGAGGAUGCAGCUGGCCCCAGGGAUGUCCUCAGGCAUCUCUAGGACCUUGCUGGACGGUGGUGGCUGAGACCUGAUAUCCACACAAAGGAGCAGACUGUGGAAAUGCUGGUGCAGGAGCAAUUCCAGGCUGUCCUGCCCGAGGAGCUCAGAGCUCAAGCACAGAGAUGUCAGCCUGGAAUCAGAAUCACUGGCUAAGUCUUGCUGCUUGCUUCUUGCUCAGCCUGCAUAUGAGAAGUCAACCAAGCAUUCUCUUGGAUGCAAGAUCCAACUGCACCCAUGGGAAAUCUGAACUUCCACUUUCUUUGAGCUUGUCUUUGGUUGUAAUAAGAAUCCAUCAAAACCCAUGUCUGGAUCUCUCUUUGGCUGAGGCAGCUUUAUUUCCUACAGAAAGAGUUUCUCUGUCCUCUUGUUAGGACAAUCAGCCUGCUGCUUUGGGCUUUUCCAAGAGCCUAUUUUUCAUCUGCUGGAUGCCUCUUUUUUUUUUUUUUUUUUUUUUUGCACUGUGUGACAUGCUUUAAUAUAUAUAUUUUUUAUGUAUCCAAAGAGGUAAUCAACUUUAACUUUCAGAAUUCAUGAAUCUUGGUUUGGUGGCAUGAAUGAAAGGUUAUGUAACCCCACCAGUAACUCAUUUGGGGUGCCCUUGAAAUAUUAAAGUUUGGUCCUCAAUAAAUAUGUGCUGUGGUGAUUAAUCAGGUUAGCGCUUAGUAGUCAGCAAUUGGAGACAGGUGAGAU